GAAUACUGUACUCCAUUCAAUAUAGCAUCUCAUGUUAUUUACUCUAUAUGAUGAUAAUAAUAACAACUUACAAAAUUAUCAUAUAUGAGUAGAUUAUAUAAAGCAUCCGGGACACAUUAAACAUAGCUGUGAGAGUUCUUACUGUGACAGGUGUAUACGAAGCUUUCACCAUUAUUUCAUAUCUACCUUAAAUAGGAUUAUGCCAUAUCUGUGCUUGUUCAACUCAAAUUUUUAAUGCAUAACUUCUACCUCUGUUAAGUUAGAAUAGGUUAAUCUUUUCUAAUAUUGUACAAAGAAUAUCUAUACAUUUUAAAAUUUUACUAGCAAAUGAAAUGAUCUCAUAGCUGUAGCAAGCAUACCGAGAUAUUUACUGGGCAUCAAGUCAACAUGCAAUCAGAACAUUUGGUAUAUAAGGUGACUAUUAAGUAGCUAACGGUAUAUUAAGUGGAAACCUACAUUAUGUUGAACACAAAACCAUCUUGAUUAUGAAUUUUAAAGCAACUUAUGUGUAUGAAAUUACAGUUUUAAAAAGUUAAUAAAACUCUCCAAUGCAAAGCUAUGUAUAAAUUUGACAGUUUAACAUAGGAUCCUAGGCUAAAAGAGAUGAGAAGAAAGAAAGAUUUUUAAAAUUGAGAUUCAUUAUUUAUGGUAGUUACUGGGUCAUAAGUUUGUCAACUACAGCUUUCACUCAAUUGAACUGAGAUGAACAAAGAAGUCAUUUUGAAAACAUUUGAAGAUGAUCUUGUUUUGGCAUAAGGAAAAUAUUUAAAUGUGGUGUGAAUAUCAGACUCAUUUAUACAUUUUAAAAUAUUUUUCAACUAGUUGAACACUGAAGGAGAAAGUAACCAUUUAUAUUAAAUGAAAUCAUUUUCCCUUUCCCAGGGGCUCCUAUAAGUCUCAGUCUUGUCCUGUAAGUCUUUCCACUGGAUGGUCCCAAUAUCUAGCUUACUGUCCAGAAUGUACAUGCCUUUCCCCUUUCCCCAAGUUAGUCUUUGUCCCCAGUAACAACCCGGAAUCCGAAAACAUACCACAACAGGCUCAGACUUCCAGGCAUCAGUUGCAGCAUAAACGGACACCA
rnacentral:lncRNA from 1 species